GCCUUCGUGGUGAAGUGGUCAGCACGCUCGACGCAUAACCGAGAGGUCCGUGGUUCGAUUCCCGGCGAAGGCG
rnacentral:tRNA from 1 species